rnacentral:rRNA from 1 species
GCGCGAAAACUUUACAAUGCUGGCAACAGCGAUAAGGGAACCUCGAGUGCCAGGUUACAAAUCUGGCUGUCGAGAUGCCUAAAAAGCAUUCCAUAGCAAGGGCCGGGCAAGACCGGUGCCAGCCGCCGCGGUAACACCGGCGGCUCGAGUGGUAACCGUUAUUAUUGGGUCUAAAGGGUCUGUAGCCGGCCGGAUAAGUCUCUUGAGAAAUCUGGCAGCUUAACUGUCAGGCUUUCAGGAGAUACUGUCUGGCUCGAGGCCGGGAGAGGUGAGAGGUACUUCAGGGGUAGGGGUGAAAUCUUGUAAUCCUUGAAGGACCACCAGUGGCGAAGGCGUCUCACCAGAACGGACCUGACGGCAAGGGACGAAAGCUGGGGGCACGAACCG